rnacentral:rRNA from 1 species
GAUGAACGCUGGCGGCGUGCCUAAUACAUGCAAGUCGAGCGAACGGACGAGAAGCUUGCUUCUCUGAUGUUGGCGGCGGACGGGUGAGUAACACGUGGAUAACCUACCUAUAAGACUGGGAUAACUUCGGGAAACCGGAGCUAAUACCGGAUAAUAUUUUGAACCGCAUGGUUCAAAAGUGAAAGACGGUCUUGCUGUCACUUAUAGAUGGAUCCGCGCUGCAUUAGCUAGUUGGUAAGGUAACGGCUUACUAAGGCAACGAUGCAUAGCCGACCUGAGAGGGUGAUCGGCCACACUGGAACUGAGACAAGGUCCAGACUCCUACGGGAGGCAGCAGUAGGGAAUCUUCCGCAAUGGGCGAAAGCCUGACGGAGCAACGCCGCGUGAGUGAUGAAGGUCUUCGGAUCGUAAAACUCUGUUAUUAGGGAAGAACAUAUGUGUAAGUAACUGUGCACAUCUUGACGGUACCUAAUCAGAAAGCCACGGCUAACUACGUG